CACAAGCGGUGGAGCAUGUGGUUUAAUCGACGCAACGCGAAGAACCUUACCAGGGUUUGACAUCCCCUGACAGCUAUUGAAAGAUAGACUUCAUCUUCGGAUGACAGGGAGACAGGUGGUGCAUGGUUGUCGUCAGCUCGUGUCGUGAGAUGUUGGGUUAAGUCCCGCAACGAGCGCAACCCUCGACCUUAGUUGCCAGCAUUCAGUUGGGCACUCUAAGGUGACUACCGGCUAAAAGUCGGAGGAAGUGGGGAUGACGUCAAAUCAUCAUGCCCCUUAUGACCUGGGCUACACACGUGCUACAAUGGGCGGUACAAAGGGUCGCGAACCCGCGAGGGGGAGCCAAUCCCAAAAAGCCGCUCUCAGUUCGGAUUGCAGGCUGCAACUCGCCUGCAUGAAGCCGGAAUCGCUAGUAAUCGCGGAUCAGCAUGCCGCGGUGAAUACGUUCCCGGGCCUU
rnacentral:rRNA from 1 species